AUUCAAGUAAAUGUGCGCAUAUUCAUCAGCUGAACCAGUAUGGUGACAGGACACGUUUAUUUGUUGUUUAUUGGUUGUUUGCUUUAUAAUGAAAGUUCAUAGUUCACCAAUAUUUCACAACUUUUAGUUCACACAUUAUUUUUGCUGUUUACGUCUAAUAAAGUGAAAUGUAAUCAGACCUAUAUGCUCAAAAUUAACAAAGAAACGUGCAUUUCUGGCUCAUUAAACACAGCUGACACUGAUUGCAUCAUUUCAUCCAGAUCAGGAAUAUCUGAACGCCUCCAGAAAAUGUUCUCCAGCACCUCAAACCUUUGUUACAAAAAGCUUUGAAGAACUGCUUUUGGCUUCUUUGCAUCAUCAACCUGGAACGCACUACAAAGCACUUUAAAAUGAAUUCAUUGGUAACUCUUGGUCAUUUUAAAUCCACAGUCUCAAACCUUUUAACUUCUGUUUGUACCUGUUUUUAAUGGAUUUUGUUGUUUGUCUAUUUAUUAAUUGUAUUUAUAUGUUUGUUUUAUUGACUGUCUUCUUUCUUGCUCGACGUCAUUGUA